rnacentral:SRP_RNA from 1 species
GCCGGGCAUGGUGGUGGGUGCCUGUAAUCCCAGCUACUUGGGAGGCUGAUGCAGGAGAAUCACUUGAACCCAGGAGGCGGAGGUUGCAGUGAGCCAAGAUCGUGCCACUGCACUCCAGCCUGGGUGACAGAGUGAGACUCAGUCUCAA